GAGCAAGUGUGGUAUAGUGGUUUGAACGUUGGACUAUGACUCUGGAGACUAGCAUUCAAAUCCCAGCUUGCUCA